AUAGGGAUGAGACUAAGAUAUGCAAGUCGCACGCCUGAAACCACGUUCAGGAGUGGCAUACCGCUCAGUAAAACGUUGACUACCUACCCUCCGGACGGGGACAACCCCGGGAAACUGAGGCUAAUCCCCGAUAAGCGACGACGCCUGGAACGGUCCGCCGCCCAAAAGCCAGCCGCGCAUGUGCGGCACGCGCCAGAGGAUGGGUCAGCGGCUGAUUAGGUUGUUGGCGGGGUAAUGGCCCACCAAGCCGCCGAUCAGUACCGGCCGUGAUAGCGGGAGCCGGGAGAUGGGCACUGAGACAAAGGCCCAGGCCCUACGGGGCGCAGCAAUCGCGAAAACUCCACAAUCCGGGAAACCGGGAUGGGGUCAUCCCUAGUGCCACGCCACCGCGUGGCUUUUGCCGACAGUAGGAACGUCGGCGAAUAAGGAGAGGGCAAGUCUGGUGUCAGCCGCCGCGGUAAUACCAGCUCUCCGAGUGGUGUGGACGAUUAUUGGGCCUAAAGCAUCCGUAGCCGGCUGGGCAAGUCCCCUGUUAAACCCAACGAUUCAAUCGUUGGCUCGCGGGGGAUACUGCUCGGCUAGGGGGCGAGAGAGGCCGUCGGUAUUCCCGGGGUAGGGGUGAAAUCCUAUAAUCCCGGGAGGACCACCAGUGGCGAAGGCUGUCGGCUAGAACGCGCUCGACGGUGAGGGAUGAAAGCUGGGGGAGCGAACCGGAUUAGAUACCCGGGUAGUCCCAGCUGUAAACGAUGCAGGCUAGGUGUUAGGGCGGCCACGUGCCGCUCUAGUGCCGCAGGGAAGCUGUUAAGCCUGCCGCCUGGGGAGUACGGUCGCAAGGCUGAAACUUAAAGGAAUUGGCGGGGGAGCACCACAAGGGGUGAAGCUUGCGGUUU
rnacentral:rRNA from 1 species